rnacentral:rRNA from 1 species
CGGCUACCACAUCCAAGGAAGGCAGCAGGCGCGCAAAUUACCCAAUCCCGACACGGGGAGGUAGUGACAAUAAAUACUGAUACAGGGCUCUUUUGGGUCUUGUAAUUGGAAUGAGUACAAUUUAAAUCCCUUAACGAGGAACAAUUGGAGGGCAAGUCUGGUGCCAGCAGCCGCGGUAAUUCCAGCUCCAAUAGCGUAUAUUAAAGUUGUUGCAGUUAAAAAGCUCGUAGUUGAACCUUGGGCCUGGCUGGCCGGUCCGCCUCACCGCGUGCACUGGUCCGGCCGGGCCUUUCCUUCUGGGGAGCCGCAUGCCCUUCACUGGGUGUGUCGGGGAACCAGGACUUUUACUUUGAAAAAAUUAGAGUGUUCAAAGCAGGCCUAUGCUCGAAUACAUUAGCAUGGAAUAAUAGAAUAGGACGUGUGGUUCUAUUUUGUUGGUUUCUAGGACCGCCGUAAUGAUUAAUAGGGAUAGUCGGGGGCGUCAGUAUUCAGCUGUCAGAGGUGAAAUUCUUGGAUUUGCUGAAGACUAACUACUGCGAAAGCAUUCGCCAAGGAUGUUUUCAUUAAUCAGGGAACGAAAGUUAGGGGAUCGAAGACGAUCAGAUACCGUCGUAGUCUUAACCAUAAACUAUGCCGACUAGGGAUCGGGCGGUGUUUCUAUGAUGACCCGCUCGGCACCUUACGAGAAAUCAAAGUUUUUGGGUUCUGGGGGGAGUAUGGUCGCAAGGCUGAAACUUAAGGAAAUUGA